rnacentral:rRNA from 1 species
UACGUAGGGGGCUAGCGUUGUCCGGAAUCAUUGGGCGUAAAGAGCGUGUAGGCGGUCCGGUAAGUCCGCUGUGAAAGUCGGGGGCUCAACCUCGAAUGCCGGUGGAUACUGUCGGGCUAGAGUGCGGAAGAGGCGAGUGGAAUUCCUGGUGUAGCGGUGAAAUGCGCAGAUAUCAGGAGGAACACCGAUGGCGAAGGCAGAUCUCUGGGCCAUUACUGACGCUGAGGAGCGAAAGCGUGGGGAGCGAACAGG